UUCUACGGGAGGCAGCAGUGAGGAAUACUGGACAAUGGGCGAAAGCCUGAUGCAGCAACGCCGCGUGCGGGAUGACGGCCUUCGGGUUGUAAACCGCUUUCGCCUGUGACGAAGCGUGAGUGACGGUAAUGGGUAAAGAAGCACCGGCUAACUACGUGCCAGCAGCCGCGGUGAUACGUAGGGUGCGAGCGUUGUCCGGAUUUAUUGGGCGUAAAGGGCUCGUAGGUGGUUGAUCGCGUCGGAAGUGUAAUCUUGGGGCUUAACCCUGAGCGUGCUUUCGAUACGGGUUGACUUGAGGAAGGUAGGGGAGAAUGGAAUUCCUGGUGGAGCGGUGGAAUGCGCAGAUAUCAGGAGGAACACCAGUGGCGAAGGCGGUUCUCUGGGCCUUUCCUGACGCUGAGGAGCGAAAGCGUGGGGAGCGAACAGGCUUAGAUACCCUGGUAGUCCACGCUGUAAACGGUGGGUACUAGGUGUGGGGUCCAUUCCACGGGUUCCGCGCCGUAGCUAACGCUUUAAGUACCCCGCCUGGGGAGUACGGCCGCAAGGCUAAAACUCAAAUGAAUUGACGGAA
rnacentral:rRNA from 1 species